AAUAUGUCCUAAAUUCCAAAUAACUGUCUCAGUAAAGAAUUUUUGGGAUAUUUGUUUGUAAGUUGGGAGAAUGCCUAUAUUUUAGAAGGCUUCUGUUGGAAAAUCCACAUGAAUUAAAUCAUAGGCCUAUCAAAGUAUCAGAGUCAGUUUCUUCUCGUCUUCUCAGCUAGCAUAUAAGUUCCUUGUUAGAUAGCCAGAGUUAUGUUUGAUCCUUCCCUUGUAUCUUCUGCAAAUACUAGGCUUGUAUUUGGUUAACAAUAAUGAAUAAUAACAAAUAAUUGUUGUUAUUCAGUCAUGGCUGACUCUUCCUCUUUGUGACCCCAUGCAUGAACUGUUGCAUAUCAGUGUUGUCCAUGGGGUUUUCUUGGCAAAGAUAUUGGAAGGUUUGCCAUUUCCUUCUCCAAUUCAUUUUACAGAUGAAGAAACUAAAGACAACAGUUAUGUAUCUGAGGCCAGAUUUGAAUUCAGGUCUGGUGCUCUAUCCAUUGAGCUGCCUGGCUGUCAUACUAAAAAAAAAAAUUGAGAUAAUGUGAUAUAAAAUUUUAGCCGAUGGUUUGUUGACCUUGGAGUCAAAAAGUCCUGGAUUUGAACCCUGUUUUAUACAUUCAACUAACUGUGUGUGACUCUGGGCAAGCCAUUUUUAUCCUUUUGAAGUCUGUUUCCACCUCUGUCAAGAAGUAGGGUUGGAUGAUCGCUUGAAGAUCACCAAGGUUCCUUCCUACUCUAAAUCUGUGACCUGUAAUCCAAGUUAUUCAUCAGAUGAGUUCAUUAAAUGCUCAUGGCCUCCCUCCUUCCCAAGGAAGGUCAAGAGCAGUGAUUCUUAACCUGUCCCUCCCAGGAUUUCAUGGGUUGAUUUUCAAGCAGGGACCAUGAAUUUAAAUAGAAAAAAAUUUUAAAAAUUGACAUUUUGACUUUAAGUUCUAAGUGAAAGUUAGUGUGUUCCCUUCCUAAAAAUACUGCUCCGAGAAGGUGUCCAGGGCCGUCUGCAGACUCCCAGAGAGUUCUGACAGCACAGUUAAACACUCUCCUCUGGAGCCCGUUGCCUCACCAGCGAAGCCUCCCCUUGAGCCACACAGGCUUGCCAGCCACCAUUACUUAGCAUUUUGUCCAUCUUCUUGACCGCCCCAUCAGCUUUGGGGAAACACCCUGACCCUCCAUUUAGACUUAAACAAGAAGGCACCCAAGUUGUGAUCACUUUCUUUUCCAAACUUGGUGGCUACUGUAGCUGGAGUUACACGCAGCCUGCAAUCCAAACCCCGAGUGGGGGUGGGUAAAAGUUCAGCUAAUACCCUUAAAAAUAUCCCUUGUCUUUGCACUUCCAAGUUUUGACCCAGAUCAGUCAGAGGCCAUUGAGUGCUUGCAAUGUCUGAAAAGUUUGUUUAGUUCCCCGGGCCUCUCGUUGCAGAGAAGCCGAGGGGAGCCAGUGACCUCAUCAACUUGAGCUCAAGCCCAGCCUUUUCAAGUUAGCCUGACCCCGGUCUUACCAGCCCUCCUAGGGCGCAUGGAAGGAGCCAAGUCCCUUCCCCUUCACACUGUGGUUAUCGCUACCCCCCUGAAAUCAAACAGUGUACACAGCACCCUGUAAAACUGCUUCCUUGUGGGCUUGAGUGUACUUGCUAAGUAAACAUCCUCCCGUGUUUUUGGAACUAAAUUCAUUUCUGUUUCCUGGUCAUCCCAUUUGUUGUUGCCUUUUUUUUUUCCUUCUCUGAUGUCAGCUCCAAGCCAAAAAAAAAAAAAAAAAAAAGUGAGAUUAAUGGAAGAGAAACCCAAAUUUGGGAAGUGGUACAUGGGAAGUGGAGCAUUUUUAUCUUACCCAAAAAUUGCCAGGGGAAGCAAAAAGGGCAUGGGAAAAACACCGUAUGUGUUUGUUUCUAUUUUUGGUUGGAACCUGUGAUUGUUUGGUAUAAGUAGCUUCCAGUGCGGAAAAUCCUUCCUUCAAACAAUCAACUAGCAUUUAUUAAGCAUAAUCAUUCUGGACAGAAAGACAGAAAUGAAACUGUCCUGAGCAAAGCAGCUACCUUUUGGAGCCUUAGGGCAUAGCCUAAGGGUACUGAGAAGUUAAGGGCUAUGUAUAUGGUAACAAUCUCCACAUCCAGUUUGUUCAUCAUUGAAAUGAUGCAUCUCAGAGACCUCUAUCCAGUUUAAAAUUUAAGGCAUUGUAGUUGUCUGAGGUGGAUGCUAGCCCCUCAUGUUUAGAUUUAAAAAAAAAUAAACAAAAAUCUUCCAUGUUAUUAUCACAAGUCCUAGUAUGGGGCCCAGAAUCAAUGUCUCUAAUAAAAAAAUUUUUUUUUGCUAAUUUGUAAACGUCGAUGCUGGUUCCUGACAUCCUGAGAUGUGUCUGGGUCUGCAUCUUGCAUUGUCUGUAGCUCCCGGCCCUGCUCCAUCCCUGUCUCUUGUGAGCUAUUUGCCUUUUCUCUUUCUUGGAUUUUUCCUGUUACUUCCUCCCACCUAUGACAUACCCAUCACUAUGGCAAUAAGGCCGCCACUUCCCCGUGGCUGGGAGGGGGAUGAUGGCUAUAGUUUGAUAGUUGGCCCUUUCUCUCUCCAACGCCCUCUACUCUCCCUAUCCCGCUUUUAGUUUUCCCUCCUAAAACAGGAGGCUCCCUGGCAGAGCUAAAAGUCUUUUGUUUAUUUGAUCCUAGUCUCUUGGAUAAAUCAGGAAUGUCCUGAUGUGAACUCAGACAUGUUUUUCUCCCAUGGAGGAGGAAGCAGAAGCAUAUGGGAUUUAAAUGGGCAGGCGACCACUGGGGUGGGGGGGAGCUGGUUUUGCUGCCAUCGAGGCCUUACUCGGUUUGAUAGUCCGACCAGUAGGGCCUCCUUUAUUGGACAUCUCCACCCUGGAGCCCAGAAGGUGCUAAUUUGGAGCAUUUCCCCCCCACCAGGACCUGGCACCGAGUACCUGGGCUUCUCCCGGAACCCUGUGGGGCAGCGAUUAAUUUCCAUGUGGUCCUUGUUUCUGCUAGAGUGAGAUUCCUGUGCGCCUCAAACCCCCCUCGCCAAAGGAUGAUCGCUUAGGCUGGGGGAGCUGCCAGGAACCGGACUGGGCUGGAAUUGGACAUGGGGUGUGUUGGGGGCUGGUCUUUCUGUUUCUCGGACACUCAAAUAGCUAGGGUAUAGGGACACCCUCCCCUAGGAUCCUCCCUCCAUCUUGGACGCCAUACACUUGAUUCCCCACCGAAUGCCUGAAGCCAUUUUGCAAUAGUGAGGUAAGCAGAGUCCGAGUGGGCUUGUGUGCCGUUAUGGAGGCCGGAGGUUCUCUCGCGGCACUUGGGCCUUCGGGGCAGGCAGAAGUCUGACUCUCGAGCUGCUCACCCAGAAAGAGGCCGCAAGGCUAACCAUCACCCCAGGAUCGUGGCGUUCUCCGGGACUGGGUCUGGGACUAUUCGGACAGGCAGGGGUUAAUGUGCUUGAUUAAGCUUAUUAAUCAAUGCGGUGCUCUUUUUUAUUGGGGGUGGGGAAAGUGGCAGAGGGAGGUCCUGGAGUGGGGAGAGGGACAGCGAGUUUCUGUUCAUUUUUCCUAGCUGCUGCUCGUAGAGAGGAGAACCCAACAGAAGCCUGAUUCUAACCUGAAUCUGCCUGUUCUGAUGCUUUGCUGCCCCUCAGGCCUUCCGAAGAACUUUCCUCAGGAACAUAUGACUCAGCAGUUGGAUUCCCAGGGGGACAGAGGCCCCGAAGUCCUCCCAGCUAUGGUUGGAGUCCACACCUCUGGAACUUGGCACCUGAUCUUGAAGGCCAGAGGGGUUGGAUGGAGAGCCGGGACUGCGCAGGAGGCGACAGGCAGUUGUGACGGGCUCCCAGACUUGGUGGUGUGUACCCCUUCUUCCCCCACGAUGCAGGAUUCUCUCCUCUCAGAGGGUCCAUCAGAAUGCCCAUGAUGGAUGCUGAGCCACAGAAACAUUGUUGGAGAACCUAGAACCUCCCUGAUCAACAAACUGAGGCUCAAAGGAAUUAAAACCACUGGAAGUGAUUAUUAAGGAGACCAGCACUGUGCUUUGCAUAUAAUAGCUCCUGAAUAAAUGCUUAUUGGAUUGGAAUGAACUGAUUAAAUCAGCGAUCUUUGAAUUCCUGAAGUAAAUUUCUCCAGAAACCAUCUGUCAGCCUGUAUUAGAGACAUUUAACAGCCUUCCUGGGACGCGGGUGGCCGUGAGUCAUGGAACGUCGGGGCUCUGGAGAAUGAAAGGUGUAGGUUCACAAAGGGCAGUGCAGAAGUGAUGGUGGGCGUCUGGCGUUGGCUGCGCGGGCGCGGGUUGUGCAAGAGGAAUGGCAUGAGGGAUGUUGUCGGCCCAGCAGGAGAAGGUGAACCAGCCACGUGGAGAGUGAGAGAACCAGUGGGCGGUCCACCUGAAGACCCAGGGCUCUGGAGUCGGUUGGAAGAAGUGGAAGCUGUGCCGGGGACACUGACACCUGGCCGAUCCUGAGAACGGAAGGGCGAAGGGGAGGCAAAGCCCAUGCUUUUCCAGCCGCCCCCGCAGGCCUUCUGGGACUUGCGGCCCUCGGGGAGGCCCAGGAACGCGGAGAGCACAGAACGGCCUCGCGGGCCGGAGAAGGAGCAGAGACCCCGCUGAUUCGGCAGCUGGAGCGGCUGCGUGCUUUGCGAGGAGCUGUUUGGGCCUUUGUAUCCCCAGCGCCCUGCACACAGUAGGCACCUUAAUAAAUGUGUUGGGGCAGCUAGGGGGUGCCGUGGAGAGAGCACCAGCCCUGAAGUCAGGAGGACCCGAGUUCAAAUCUGACCUCACUUAACACUUCUUGGCUGUGUGACCCUGGGCAAGUCACUUAACCCCAAUUGCCUCAGUAAAAAUAAAUAUAUGUGUUAAAUUUAAGGUGAGAGUGCAUCUUGGCUGGCUUGGGUUCUAGGAAGGCUGAAAGCCCGAAUCAGCGACAGCUUGUUGAGAGCACAGGAAUUCUGGAGGGGUCAGUGUACCUCCAGUACCUCUAGAGUGGGCAGGGGAAGCAGGCUGUGCAAGCUUUCAUAAUCCCCACGUCUUCGAAAAGAGCAUGUUUAAUCUUGCAAGCCACCGGGAAGGGCUGGCGACCAUUAUUUAUUUAUUUAUUUUUGCCUGCCAAUUAGGAGAUUAGUAGCGAGAUUCAGGCUUGGUGGAAGCAAUGCCGCGGCCUUCUCAAAACAAAAAGUUUUUGCAGAGGUGAAAUUCUAAUCAACGAGUUAUUUCCAAAAUGUUAAGAGAGUAUUUCCCAGCAGUGACAAGAAAGCACCGAAGGCCCUUAGCCUAAUGAGAAUUAGCAAAGAAACGUCAUAUAUUUUGCCGCCUCUGCUGUUCCCUUUGGAUUUGGUGUCAGGAAAGUAACUGAAGAAGCCUGUGUCUAUUUUCUUAGCCUGGUGAUUUGAGAGCAACAGAAAAGGUUAAGUCAAGGGUUCUUAAUCCUUUCUAUGUCAUGGACUCUUGGUGGUUGGGUGAAGCUUAUGGACCCUUUUCCAGAAUUAUGUUUUUAAAAUAUCUAACUUUAAUAGGAUUGGAAACAAAUUCUGUCGAAAUGCUUAUCAAAAAUUUUAAGUUCAUAGACCACAGGUAAGAACCCCUGAUCUAGGUAGAAAGGGGGAGGGAGAAGAAAUGUGGGGACAAUUAACAUAUCGCAUAUAACCUGAUUUAGGAAAACCCUUCAGGAAGAAGUCCAUUUACAGGAAAACCAGGAGAAUCCACGUGUGUUAACAUUUGUGAUGGGCUCCUCAACUGAAAUUUUCAAGGGUUUCUGAACAGGUUGGAGAGGAAACCAAGGUGGGUAUUAAUCUCCUUUUAUGAAAGGAGGCAAAAUGGUGGUAUAAGUGGGAACUGUUCCUUGUCAUGUGAGAGCUAAUGGUAUUUCAGUAAGAGCUUUCGACUCUUGUUUAUAUUUACAAUAACAUAAUAAAUCUGUGCUCUUUUGGCCUGAUGGUAAAGUUAAUCCAGAAGGGAGUUGAUUUUUGCAUUGUUUCAAUCACCAUUGCAUAACUAAUCAUCUCCGUGCCAUGAUAAUAAUUGUACCUUUUGUCACCAGUGGAAGAGCAAGAAGACCUCCCAUCUCAGAACAGAGGCUGAGACUUCCCCUUCUUCAAGAUGCUCCUCUUCUUCUGGAAGCUGGUUUCACAUGGUGGCUUAGAUUUUUCCAUCUCUGUAUCUAGCACCAUUUGAAAUCAGUGUUUUAGGAGUAAGAAUUGCGGCAAGGGAAGGACAUACAAAGAAGUUUCAGUGGCUCAUCUACUUUUUAGAUUUGCCAUUUGAACCGGGAAAAGUUUCCCUCCACAGGACGAUUGUCAUAAAAAUCAAAUUAAGGGGUAGGAUCCCAUCCAGCAUAUUAGCUCCAGAGAUAAUGCUAUAAGAAACUAAGGUCAGUUUUGCUUAGCUCACUGGAUUGGGAAUCUCAAGACUUGAGGUUCUAUCUCAACCAGUUACUAUUUGUGUUAGCUUGAACUAGUCAAAAUCUCUAAGCUUCAGUUUUCUUUUCUUCAAAAUGGGGAUUAUACUCACCACCUGCCUACCUCACAGGGUUGUUGUGAGGAUGUAUGACAUUUUUUAAAUAUGCUAAUGCACUUAUUGAAUGUUAGUGAACAGUCCUAUCCAACUGUGGUAGGGUCUUAAUAGUUUUCAUAAAAUAAACACUUCUUGGUUAAUGAA